GUGGGGCCGGCCUUCGCUGCCACGGGGAAAUGCGGGCCCCAGACGACCAAAGGCUCCGUUUUUUCUUUUCUUUUUUUGCCAGACAAGUGCAGACUGAAGAGCUUGGGUAGACGAACCUCCUCAAGUCACUCUCGGCGGGUGUCUUAUUGCAGCUGAACUAGUUAAGCGACAGGCCCUGUUCCGUACGGGUGUGCCCUCUGCGCUCCUCUUCCCCAGCUGCACGAUCCCCAGCCAGGGAGGAAACUUCUGGACCCCCCUUCCUCAGCCUCUCAUCAUCAUGGAACAACACUGACCGAGGAGUCCGAGCAUGACCCGUGCUCCAGAGACCAGAGCAGGCCUGUGAAUAAGAAUAUAGCUCUCAGCUAUUUCUCCAACAUCAUGUGUGCCACCAAGAUCCCUGGCAUGAUGAUAAUGGACUAAACCUCUGAAAUGGCCCCACACCUGUGUGUGUCCUCCACCCAUUCACCUGGACAUGGAACAAGCCCAGAAAGGCCAUCUGAGCAGCCACAGUGAGACCUCCGGUGUCCCUGACAGGAAGAGCCUCUCUCAUGAAGCCCAGCAGCACGAUAGCUUUCCCUGUGGGGCUGAGACUGACAGCUGGCAAAGGACAGAAAGGAGACAAGGCGACGUGAAGGACUUUCCCAGUCCCACCAUCAUGCAGAAAACCACUCAGACGCGGCCAGAAUGACCUGCCGGAGAGAGCGUUCCCCUUGAAGAAUGGCAGGUGCUGGCGGCAGACACUGUCUGUGUAGUCUGGAGUCAUAUCCCAGCCCCAAGGCCCCACAGCCUGAACCUCAGCCACCAGCAGCUCUGCCAGGCAACCUCUCGUCUCCAAGGCACAUGUGAAGCAGGGAUCUGGAAGCCUAGGCCUUUCCAAGGAGCAGCUGUUUGAAGAACGGAUCUGGCUAUAGGCAAACGUGAAAGUUGAUUUUCUUCUACAGAAAACCUGAUUGCUUUUGACGCCCAAAGACUUCUGGCAAGCUCUAAGGCUGGAAAACACAGUGGGCCCUGGGUUCUCUGGCUGGAAGGGCCCCACUGCCUACAUAUACAUAUCCGUUUGUGUGUGUGUGUGUGUGUGUGUGUGUGUGUGUGUGUGUGUGUUUUAGAGGCCCUGGAGGGAUCUCACUUGUGACCAGGAGUAAGGCUGGUUAGUUAGUUGCCUACGACAAUUGCAAAUUUAUUCCCCUUUUGCUGUGUUUACCUGACACUGCUACUCAUGACAAACACCAGUGAGCCUGUUGGGCACUUCUGGGGAGCCAACCUCCCAAAUACAAACCUCCCACUCAGAGUGAAGGAGAUCUCCUCCAACUUUGUCUCUGUGUCAAAGGCAGGCAUUGGGAGCAGGGCUGCUGAGGGCCUACUCUCUGCUUCAUGACUCAAAAGGCACAGCUCUCAUCUUAAAGGGAUAGUAUAUUCAGGAGCCAUGUUGAGCGACCAGUGACCUAGGGACACAGAUUGGGGUUACCCCAAAUUCCAUGUUCGAGUGUGGAAGCAGUUUCAUGAAGUUGUAUAGUUUUAUAGAACAAAGAAAGUCAUAAAGUAAGGCGAGUUUAGAAUACAUUGAUGGAUACACCAGGCAGUUACAGCGGUAAAGGAGAAGCUUUUCUAUGGGCUCAAGAUGUUGUCUGAUGACGUUUGUAGCUUUUGGAUUAGUGGAAGCCAGUGGUCUGCUAAGUCAAUAGGUUCCAAAAGCUUCCUAUCUAUUAGUCACAGAUAUUAAUUGACACAGAGGUGGCCAAGGAAUGCUGCUCCUAAGACUAGAACUAGCUCAAGAUGAAGUAGUUUGCCUCUGGGCCUGCAUCAUUCCAGUCUCUCCACGGUCUCUGUGGACACAGCAUCUUCCCAGGAGUUCUCACUCACAGAGGAAAUGAUGUUUGCAGUCAGAUGAUCUGUGUUAGCUCUCUGAUUGUUACAGUAACAAGAUAUCUAAGGCUAAGUACUUUAUGAAGAGAGAAGCGUAUUCAGCCACAGCUCUAGCCUCACGUUUUUUGUUUUUUUGUUUUUGUUUUUUCCUAUGGUAAAAGCAGAGGAAUCUUUCUAUGGAACUGAGUUUCCAUAACCUGGAAGCUCCUGUUUUCAGGAAAAAUCAGUCUGUUGAGGGAUCUACCACCUUUCUUCACAAUUCAGUUUGCUUAUGUGGUGCUUAACAUAAAUGACUCCAUUUUAGGUUAGUCUGUUCUGGUUGCACCCUACUGCAGGAGUUCAGAUCAAAAAGAAAAGCCCCCCCCCCUCAAAAAAAAGGGGAACCAGGAAGGAGGGGGGUUGUGGUGGGCAGUGACAGUAGGGCCCACACAAACACAGCACGAAGAAAGUCACUGAGCUAUGGGCUUGAGAUUUGUCUGUGAAGAUGGACACCCGCUGGUAGCAACAGGCCGGGAUGUCUUGGGACCAGAAGGGCAACUCUCUCUAAUUCAGAGAAGAAGCACCCAGUGCUCUGUUCACCAACUCCACACUCUCUUUUGUGCCUGCAGACAAAGGUAAGGUGCCUACCUCUCUGUGUGUCUGUGUAUAUGAUAAGGCCCUGGAGUCAUGUAUGCUGGCAAGCUACCCUAUCAGCUCUGCUGACAGCCUGUUUCCCCAAGAUUCCAACACAGAAAAAGAUGUCUCCCACCUCUCUGCAUAUGACUAGAGAAAAGAGAUUAGAGUCUUUAUUGUGCAUGUGUGCAGGCAUGUAUGCUUGUGUGUGUGUGUGAUUUGAGUCUGUAUUAUUUUAAAAUCUGACUGCCGCUGAGAUGGCUGUCCUAGGAGGAUGACAGAAUACUCCGAGGGAGAGGAACUGCUCUUUUGUUUGGGAAAACACCUUAAUGGAUCUUUUAAUUAUGCAAAGAGAAGCCCCAGGGCUGCUCCAGGCUAGAAGAUGAGAAAUCAGGAAGCUAAAUUGAACUGCUUAAUACACUAAGGAAAUUUUGGAGCUGUCCCGGGAGGUAACCUUGAAGAAGGGACUCUACCGAGAAAAACAAGCCAGAGACCCAAGAGGGGUGCUUGUGAAAGGAGCAGGCCUCUUUCCCCAACCUCCCACCACUCCCACGACCCCCUACCCCACCCCUGUGCCUUCUGCUUAGGAAUAACUUGAGUGUUCCCAUAGGUUUCCCCAGGGUUCCCCCUAGGAGGCUAGGAGGCUGAGCUGUAAGCAUUAUAACUGCCUCAGUCUAUGUAUUUUUAUUCUAAUUCAUUCAUCUAGCAUUCAGGUGUCCUCCCCACCAUGGGAGCGGCACAGGGAAUGAUAGUGAGUGUGACAACCGGCCACGGAGGAAAUUCAGGACCAGAAAGUUCAUUCUGCUUGGUUUGCAAGCUUACUUCCUCUCCCAUCUCAUCCCCAAAUCAUUAGUAAAAUCUGCAUCCCUUGCUAAUAGCUUGUGACAUCCUGGCUGUCUGUGUGGGGUGUUAUCAAAUUCUAAGACUCCGGUAUACAUGCAAGAAAGAACAGACUUAGUCACAUCUGG